UCCGCUGAGGAUGGCUUUUCCCCGGUAUAACAAGCCGGGGGAAUAAGGAGAGGGCAAGACUGGUGUCAGCCGCCGCGGUAAUACCAGCUCUCCGAGUGGUAGGGAUGAUUAUUGGGCUUAAAGCGUCCGUAGCCGGCUUGGCAAGUCUCCUGUUAAAUUCAGCGACCUAAUCGUUGAGCCGCGGGAGAUACUACUAGGCUAGGAGGCGGGAGAGGCCGACGGUACUUCCGGGGUAGGGGUGAAAUCCUAUAAUCCCGGGAGGACCACCAGUGGCGAAGGCUGUCGG
rnacentral:rRNA from 1 species